UACGUAGGGGGCGAGCGUUGUCCGAAUUUACUGGGCGUAAAGCGCGUGUAGGCGGCUUUGUAAGUCAGAUGUGAAAUCCUGUGGCUCAACCACAGAACUGCAUUUGAAACUACAAGGCUUGAGUUUGGGAGAGGAAAGUGGAAUUCCUGGUGUAGCGGUGAAAUGCGUAGAUAUCAGGAGGAACACCCGUGGCGAAGGCGGCUUUCUGGCCCAACACUGACGCUGAGACGCGAAAGCUAGGGAGCGAACGGGAUUAGAUACCCCGGUAGUCCUAGCCGUAAACGAUGGAUACUAGGUGUAAGUGGUAUCGACCCCACUUGUGCCGUAGCUAACGCAUUAAGUAUCCCGCCUGGGGAGUACGGCCGCAAGGUUGAA
rnacentral:rRNA from 1 species